rnacentral:rRNA from 1 species
CAACUUUCAACAACGGAUCUCUUGGCUCUCGCAUCGAUGAAGAACGCAGCGAAAUGCGAUAACUAAUGUGAAUUGCAGAAUUCAGUGAAUCAUCGAGUCUUUGAACGCACCUUGCGCCCUUUGGUAUUCUGAAGGGCAUGCCUGUUUGAGUGUCAUUA